rnacentral:rRNA from 1 species
CCUACGGGUGGCAGCAGUGGGGAAUAUUGCGCAAUGGGCGAAAGCCUGACGCAGCGACGCCGCGUGAGGGAUGAAGGUCUUCGGAUCGUAAACCUCUGUCAGCAGGGAAGAACGGUCACUGUGCUAAUCAGCAGUGAAUUGACGGUACCUGCAAAGGAAGCACCGGCUAACUCCGUGCCAGCAGCCGCGGUAAUACGGAGGGUGCGAGCGUUAAUCGGAAUUACUGGGCGUAAAGCGCUCGUAGGCGGUAUGUCAAGUCAAGGGUGAAAUCCCCGCGCUCAACGUGGGAACUGCCUUUGAAACCUGGCAACUUGAGGGUUGGAGAGGAUAGGUGAAGUUCAGGGGGAGGGGGGAAAUCC